rnacentral:rRNA from 1 species
AUACCUGAUAUUCUUUACAUUUCGCAUGAAAUCAAAAGGAAAGGUCAGCCGAACUAAGAUGAGCUCGCGUUCUAUCAGCUAGUUGGUGAGGUAAAAGCUCACCAAGGCAACGACGGAUAGCUGGUCUGAGAGGACGAUCAGCCACACUGGGACUGAGACACGGCCCAGACUCCUACGGGAGGCUGCAGCAGGGAAUAUUGCGCAAUGAGCGAAAGCUUGACGCAGCGACACCGCGUGUGGGAUGACGGAUCUAGGUUUGUAUACCACUUUCAGGAG